rnacentral:rRNA from 1 species
UACGUAGGUGGCAAGCGUUGUCCGGAUUUACUGGGCGUAAAGAGCGCGCAGGCGGUCGUUCAAGUCGCGUGUGAAAGCCCCCGGCUCAACUGGGGAGGGUCACGCGAUACUGAUCGACUCGAAGGCAGGAGAGUGUAGUGGAAUUCCCGGUCUAGUGGUGAAAUGCGUAGAUAUCGGGAGGAACACCAGUGGCGAAAGCGACUACCUGGCCUGUUCUUGACGCUGAGGCGCGAAAGCUAGGGGAGCAAACGGG